CCAAAAUAUCAAAAAAGAAAUACUAGCUUACAUCACUACAGAAAACAAGUGAAAUAUAAUGUGAAUUGAGAUGAUAAUUUCUAAACUAGGAUAAGAUACUAAAAGCUCAGUUUCCUGGAGAUGUUGAACACUCAAGGAGUAAUAAUGGGUCCUGAUUAUCUCAUUUUUGUCACUAAGUUUUUCUGCUUGGUAGAACAAAUGGCCCACAAUCAAGAAGGCACUCUCAAAGAGUAAUGGGAUACUAAAAGCUCAGUUUCCUGGAGAUGUUGAACACUCAAGGAGUAAUGGGUCCUGAUUAUCUCAUUUUUGUCACAAAGUUUUUCUGCUUGGUAGAACAAAUGGCCCACAAUCAAGAAGGCACUUACUCAUGAGAGGCCACCCCAAAUAUCCCUACAACAUGUUAAUGUAGUCAUUCCCAGACACGUGAAAUGUAAAUAGGUAUAUAUCUAGAAAG
rnacentral:lncRNA from 1 species